GGCAGCAGCGCCGGACAGGCUGGGAAACAUCGCCGUCCGAAAUCAGAGCUGGAGGCAGCGGAAGCUGAGCGGCGGCGAUAUGAGGAGGCAGCAGAGCAGUGCGACAGGUGGUCCUGUCUGUCCGGCGCCGCUGCCGGAGUCUCCCGCCUGUCCGGCGCUGCUGCCGGAGUCUCCCGCCUGUCCGGCGCUGCUGCCGGAGUCUCCCGCCUGUCCGGCGCUGCUGCCGGAGCCUCCCGCCUGUCCGGCGCCGCUGCCGGAGCCUCCCGCCUGUCCGGCGCCGCUGCCGGAGCCUCCCGCCUGUCCGGCGACGCUGCCGGAGCC
ensembl:lncRNA